UAAAGACCUGUAUGAAUGGCUAAAUGAGUAUUUAACUGUCUCCUUUAACUAAUCAGUGAAACUGAUCUUUCAGUACAAAAGCUGAAAUAAAAACAUAAGACGAGAAGACCCUGUGGAGCUUUAAAUUUUUAUCAAAAUUUAUACGCCUAAUAUUUAUGAUUAAAUAUUUUUAGUUGGGGCGACUUUGGAGAAAAGCCCAACCUCCAAGAAAAGGCACGACCUAAGCAAGGCUUACCAGCCAACUACACAGACCCAGUAUUACUGAUCAACGAACCAAGUUACCCCAGGGAUAACAGCGCUAUCUUCUUCAAGAGUUCAUAUCGACAAGAAGGUUUACGACCUCGAUGUUGGAUCAGGACACCCAAAUGGUGCAGCCGCUAUUAAAGGUUCGUUUGUUCAACGAUUAAUAGU
rnacentral:rRNA from 1 species